CUAAUAUAUAGUAGGAUACAGAAUAUUUAAGUAUGUAAUAUGUAGGUAAUUAAAUUUAGUAGAUAUAAAAUGUCUUUUUCACAUUUUGUUUUGUUUUUUUAUUAAUUGUAUAAUAAUUUUUAAAUAUUAAUUUUUAUUUGUUUAUUGUAAUUUUACUAUUAAUAUGUUUUAUGAUUCAAUAAAUAUUUUCUCAAGUGUUUCUCAAAUGUGAUUAAAAUAUACCAUCCUAUUGGAUUAUAUAAUAUAAUUCUAAAUUGAUGCACAUUAAAUGUUUAAAAAAUACUUAUAUACACUAUAAAUAGUGUCCCAUGAAAAUAUACCCAAUACAAUAUUUCUAGGGAUAAUAAAAAUUAAAAAAAAAAAAUUUAUUAAUUAAAUUUUAUGUUUUUGAAUAAAAAGAAAUAUAUAAAAGAAGUUAAUAUAAUUUGUUUUUUUGAAAAAUUUGAAGAUUGCCAUUUUAUAGUUUAUAAUUAUGAAAAUUUUGAUGUUCAAAUUUUUAUUUUCAUUAAAUUUGUGAUAUUUGGUAAUUUUUUAAAGUAUAUAGAAAAAACCACUGUUCAGUCAAUUAGCCAUAGUAAUAAUUAAUUAGCAAAUGAGAUCUGUCACAGUCUGUUGCGUAACUAUAGGUAAUUUGGAAAAAUGAUUAAUAUAAUAUACUGAUUUUAUUAUUUUAGCUUACUAAGUAUUAGUAUUUAUAAUACUGUACUUUAUUUUCAUAUUAAAAUGAAUGUAUCUUUGUGGAACACUCUGUACAUAUUAUCAUAGUUAUACAAUUAUCAGAUGGC